rnacentral:rRNA from 1 species
UGCAGCCUUGCGCUGUUGGGAACUGUGGUGUUCAGGACUUCUUAUGAGCUUGGUGUUUCACCUAAAGUUCACUUGAUUGUGACUCUAGGCCCAGAGAGGGUGUAAGGCCCGUCUGGGUGAGAUGCCUUGUUUCUGAGUUGUCCUUAGAGUCGGAUUGUUUGAGAUUGCAAUCCAAAGUGGGUGGUAAACUCCAUCUAAGGCUAAAUACUGAACACUAGUCCGAUAGUCAACAAGUACCGUGAGGGAAAGUUGAAAAGAACUUUGAAGAGAGAGUUCAAUAGUGCGUGAAGCCGUCUAGAGGUAAACGAGUGGAGCCGAAAUUGACUUUGAGGAUUCAGCUGGUGGUGUGUGGUCGUUAGGCAUUUUGGAGUACAUUUGUACCUUGCUAACUACCGUUUUACAUGCAUGCUGCUAGUGCACUUUCUCUUGGUCUAUACCAUGACCGGCGGUCUAAAUGGGCUGUCGUUGGGUGGCGGUAGCGUAGGCUUCGGCUUGCGUGAAACAUCUGACACGGAACUGUUGGGCUGCUGGGACUGCGAUGCAUGCCGCAAGGCUCAUAUGUGUUGCUUGAGUCGAGAGUACUUUGGGCUGACUUCUUUGAAGGCUGUCUGGGGUGCAUUUGGCUUAGGUGCGCCUCUAUGGUUAUUGUAUCAAUAGUCUAUGGUGUUUAAGUAGGCAAUCUACUCGACCCGUCUUGAAACACGGACCAAGGAGUCUAGCAUGUACGCGAGUCAUUGGGUGAUACUAAACCUAAAGGCGAAGUGAAAGCAAAGGCAUCGCAAGAUGCUUAGAUGUGAUCCCGGUAGUCUUAUGACUCUGGGCGCAACAUCGGCCCGUCUAAUGAUAUUUUUAUCGGGGCGGAGCUAGAGCGUACAUGCUGAAACCCGAAAGAUGGUGAACUAUGCUUGUGCAGGUUGAAGUCAGAGGAAACUCUGAUGGAGGACCGCAGCGAUUCUGACGUGCAAAUCGAUCGUCAGACAUGAGUAUAGGGGCGAAAGACUAAUCGAACCAUCUAGUAGCUGGUUCCCUCCGAAGUUUCCCUCAGGAUAGCUGGCAUACUUCAUAAACAGUUUUAUCCGGUAAAGCGAAUGAUUAGAGGUAUUGGUGACGAAAUGUUGUCAACCUAUUCUCAAACUUUAAAUGGGUGAGAAGCUGAUCUCUCUUAAUUGGAGAGCGGCAUUGAAUGUGUGUGCCAAGUGGGCCACUUUUGGUAAGCAGAACUGGCGCUGUGGGAUGAACCAAACGUUCAGUUAAGGUGCCUAACAUAUCGCGUAUCAGAUCCCACAAAAGGUGUUGGUUGAUAUAGACAGCAGGACGGUGGCCAUGGAAGUUGGAAUCCGCUAAGGAGUGUGUAACAACUCACCUGCCGAAUCAACCAGCCCUGAAAAUGGAUGGCGCUUAGCGAUAGACCUAUACUGGACCCAUGAUGUAAGCGUUGGAUUAAACGUCAUGGAGUAGGAGGGUCGCCGUGGUGAGCGUUGAAGCUUAGUCUGUGAAGGCUGGUGGAGCCGCCACGGGUGCAGAUCUUGG